rnacentral:rRNA from 1 species
GAUGAACGCUGGCGGCGUGCUUAACACAUGCAAGUCGAGCGAGAAGUUUUGAAAAGAUUCUUCGGAUGAAAUUUAAAAUGGAAAGCGGCGGACGGGUGAGUAACGCGUAGGCAACCUGCCCCAUACAAAGGGAUAGCAUUUGGAAACGAAUAUUAAUACCUUAUGAAACUUAACUAGUGCAUGCUAGGUAGGUCAAAGAUUUAUCGGUAUGGGAUGGGCCUGCGUCUGAUUAGCUAGUUGGUGAGGUAACGGCUCACCAAGGCGACGAUCAGUAGCCGACCUGAGAGAGUGACCGGCCACAUUGGAACUGAGACACGGUCCAAACUCCUACGGGAGGCAGCAGUGGGGAAGAUUGCACAAUGGGGGAAACCCUGAUGCAGCAACGCCGCGUGAACGAUGAAGGCCUUUGGGUCGUAAAGUUCUGUUCUAGGUGAUGAAAACUGACAGUAACCUAGGAGAAAGCCCCGGCUAACUCCGUG